AACUCUAUAAGAGUGAUACAGUUAUCUCCAUUUAACAGAUGAGGAAUUUAAGCCUCAGUGAGAUUCAAGAAUGUAACCAGUUGCCUCAGCUAAUAGGCCUGAAGCCAUCUCCUGCAUAGGAUGUAGUCCAGACACUGACUUCCUAGUUGCACAGAAGGAGUGCUGGG